GGUCGCUGUGGUGACGGCGGGUUGGCCGUUAAGGGAGCCGAGGGAUGGGGGAGUGUGAGCAGCCUAAAGCUCCAACCGCGUUUUAUGGCGUCAUGUGGCGCCUUGUUCAAAGACUGAAGUGGUGAAGGAGUGCUCAGAACAGUCUAAAUGCACUCCUAAAAUUAACAGCCAGAAUUAACCCCUUUCCUCUGACAGCACUGAGACACCCCGUGACUUUAUUAUCAGACUUCACCCUGUGCGAUUAGAGGCAGCAGCGAUACAGAUCUUGCAGCUCCACAAACACAUCAUGUCCAAUCCCACUUCAUUCCUGCUGUCAUCUACCUCUGCUACGCAGCUUACAGCUGUUGAGCAGACCUGCUAAGAUCUGGACGGCUCCUCCACAACUUCUCUUCCCACUGGGUGAAGCAGAGCUGGGUACUGACUCUCCAUUGCUCCUCACUGAGGCACUGCCACAGUCUGUGAGCAAUGCAAAAAAUUCCUGGGGAUGUUCUUGCUGACAGCGAUAGGGUGG